AUGAAAUUCCUCCCAUUCCUCACUUACCCCGGUGUCUCACUUACCCUUGCCAUGUCUUUAAAGAUCUGGAGGUCAUGUCUGGUCUCAGAUACAAACUAUAGAAAUCAUGGCCACAGCAGCCAAAUAAUCAAAUACAAUAUGACCAGCGUUUUAUACGAGAGUCGGGUGGUUUGGAAUCAACAAAAGAGAACUAGAAUUGGAAACCCCUUUAUACUGGGUUAACGUUUAGGGCGGAGCGGUGGCUCUGUGGUUUAGGAUCUGCGCCUGUGACUGGAAGGUUGCCGGUUCAAAUCCCACAGCUGGCAGAGGAAUCCUGCUCCAUUGGGCCCCUGAGCAAGGCCCUUAACCCCAACUGCUCCAGGGGCGCUGUACAGUGGCUGACCCUGCGCUCUGACCCCCAAGCUUCUCUCCCUGUCUGUGUCUCCAUGGAGGAAAAGCUGGGGUUUGCGAAAAGAAGAAUUCCUAAUGCAAGAAAUUGUAUAGGGCUAAUAAAGAAACAUUAUUAUAACUUCCAUGUCUUCAAAAAGAAAAUAACAGUUUCUCAGGUACAUCUGUGGCAUUCAGUAGUUAAAGUAUAAUACACAGUACGGGGAGUGUAUUGGAUCCCAUGGGAGAGAACAUGUUGUUGCCUUUGGGGGUUAGUUGUACACACAGUGAGGGUUACAGUUUAGAUAAGGAAACUACCACUGGGAGUUGUGAAGUAAGUGCAGGAAAUGAGCUGUUUGAGGAAGUCUAGUGCUACAAUGAAGGAUUAUACUGAAAUUCCUUUUUUUGCUAAUUAAGAUGUUCUUAACUUCUUUUCCGUGUGUUAAAUAAUGUACUGAUCUGUGAUUUCAACAAGCACAUUGCAAAAAGAUUGUACCCAUCUUGUCAUGUUUAGUGGUCUCGUUAAUUUUUAAAUGGAUGUUUUACCAAGUGCAUUGAUGAUCAGAACUAAUUAUUUUUGACCUGCUGGAAUGCACUCUGUAAAGUAAUGCUACCAAGGCACAUCAGCUUCCUUUGCUGAAAAAUGGAUUCUGACUGAUAUUCAAAUAAUCUUUUUUCUUCCUGCUUUGUGCUAAUGCUGUCGAUCGUGCUAGUUGUGAGUGAAAUCUAGGUCAAAUAAAAUCUCUUAAGUGACCUGUAUACUGUAUAGUACUGUACAUCUUCCGGCCAAAAUAUUGAGUACUGAUUCAUUCAUAUUUUAUAAGUGACUUGCUUUAGGCUUCAUUGAGUCUCUGCCUGCAGUUUUUUCUUGGAUUCUGUUUAAUUGGUUUCCUCAUGAGAGUCUGUCGUUUGGACUGCAGAAAUAAAAAUGAGAACACAGCAUGUGCCAAUAUGCCCGUUGCAAAGAACAACACAACCAAAAAAUAUCAGCUGCUCUGCAUUUUACUAGUUAAAUAUUUAGAGUUCUUCCCUAUAUGCAGUACUAAAUCAUUAAACCAUUUUAAUUUAAAUUAUGUAUUCACAGGGUAGCACCGAAUAUAGCUUGCUAUUAUGCUAUCACUCCAUAAUAUCCUGCAGCAUCUUAUGGAAAUACCCAAAUGCAGUCAUUUUUUACACAGGAUUAUGCAGGAUUCUUUACACAGGAAAUCAGAGUUCCCUAAAAAGUACAGAAUAGCAAGUUCAUUUGAUAAGCUUCAAUAUUAAGUGGUCUGGCAGUCUGUUCUCCUCUCCCUGUAUUGUCCUUCAUCUUCUUUUAUGGUGUCUUUCUGGACUGUUGAUCGACAAUUAAUCAUUUACCCAGAACUUAAUUAACUACAGGUAUACCAAGUUAACGAUUUACGAUUGCUUUGAUCACUGAAUUUGGAACCCCUACAUCUCAGCACACAUCCCCUCCCUUUGAAUCUGAAAAUGUUAACACUGCCAGGAGUCACACAUUUAAUCAGUAUUCUUUGAAACACUUCUUUUUCUCCUAUCGUAGUCUAUAACAGUAUUAAUUGGUGUUAUGCAAAAAAAUGUUAAAGUAAACAAAUACUCUCACCGGAUUUUGAUAUUUCAAGUUUGUCUCAUGCACAAGAAAGAAUAGCAGUUUGUCUUUUUCAGAAUUUUACCACUACACUGUGCCUGAGACUCCAGUGCCCCAAGCUCUGUUGCAUGUCAUUGUUCACCAGCCACACUGAUUUAACUCCAAAACUGUCUUAAGCUGCUAAAUACCACAGCCAAUCAAUGUCAUAGUGCAGAAGAACAUUGCUGCGAUAGCUGCUUGCCAAUACAACAUGGUGUCGAUAUAAGGAAAAGAGAAAGAAGCUAUGAUUUAAAUCAUUUUCAGAGUAACAGGACACUGUUUAGGAAUUAUAGUAAUCUCAUAAAAAAUAUAGUGCAGUAUGGAACAGUAUGGAAACGGCUGUCUGAACUGUCAGCAAGGGAAUGGAACAUAUCGGAUACUCUUGUAAAUGUCCAAUGUUUUAAUAAUACAUAAAUGUGGAGAAUGUGAAAAAAAAAACAUGAUUACAGUGCUACAGUAGGUACACUAUUUCACAAUAGCACAGAACUAUAAUGUUCACUGCAACCAAUACUAGCAAUUUAAAAAGCAUGACAUAUGUCCCAUUCAAACUAUUCAGACUCUUUCGUAGGAAUCUGAUCCAAUUAUAGAGUAGGCCUGGAAUAUGUUUGACUAUGGAGUAGUGUGAGAGAACUCAAACAAUUCCACUGCAAGAAGAAAAGAGUCCAUUUGUUUUUUC
rnacentral:lncRNA from 1 species